rnacentral:rRNA from 1 species
UGCCAGCCUCCGCGGUACUCCGAAUUGACCUAUCGUAGUUCGGAAUUACUGGGCUUAAAGAGUUCGUAGGUGGUUGAAAAAGUUAGUGGUGAAAUCCCAGAGCUUAACUCUGGAACUGCCAUCAAAACUUUUUAGCUAGAGUAUGAUAGAGGAAAGCAGAAUUUCUAGUGUAGAGGUGAAAUUCGUAGAUAUUACACAGAAUACCAAUUGCGAAGGCAGAUUACUAACAAUUAACUGACGCCGAGGGACGAAAGCGUGGGUAGCGAACAGGAUUAGAUA